CCACAAUAAUCUCAAAGGUGAUAUUCCAAUGGAAUUGGGGCAAUUGAAUUCACUUGAAGCCUUAGAUCUCUCUUGGAAUCGGCUCACUGGAAAGAUUCCACAGGAAUUGACAAGAAUGAACUUUCUGGCGUUCUUAAACCUCUCUCAAAACCAGCUCGUUGGACGCAUUCCUCAAGGUUCACAAUUCAGCACAUUUGAAAAUGACUCGUAUGGUGGCAACCUUGAUUUAUGUGGUCCUCCUUUGUCAAAGCAAUGUGGAACGAGUGAUCGCUCACAUGUUCCUCAAUCACUGGAGGAUGAAGCAGAAGAAGAUGAGUCAUAUUUCUUCAGUGGAUUUACGUGGGAAUCAGUAGUCAUAGGCUACAGUUUUGGACUAGUUGUUGGAACUGUCAUGUGGAGUCUCAUGUUUAAAUAUCGUAAGCCAAAAUGGUUUGUGGAAUUUUUUGAAGGCAUUUAUCCCAAGAAAAUGAGAAAUAGGCUACAGUUUUGGACUAGUUGUUGGAACUGUCAUGUGGAGCCUCAUGUUUAAUUAUCGUAAGCCAAAAUGGUUUGUCGAAUUUUUUGACGGCAUCAUGCCCCACAAAAGGAGAAGGCCAAAGAAGAGAAGGCUGAGACGGCAGACAUAAUGGAAGAUUGAAAGAUUGAACUUUUCUGUUUCUGUUUUUUCUGUUUGUUGUUUGUAUAUUCUUCAUACAAACUUAACUGUAUGUGUUUUUUUUUAAAUUAAUGUAUCUUUUUCGGAGACUUGUUUGUGGUGGAAGGAUCUAAGCAUUGUUAGUAAAUUUCCCAAAACUUAGUUCGAAAUUGAAGUUGAUCCAUUCAAAACACACGAUCUCUUAUUUAGAAAAAAAGAAAAAUUGUAUGGUUCUUUUGAGUAACUGUUAUGCAGAUUGAUUCCACUAUUUUCGUGGCUUGGUUAAUAUUGUUACAAUGAACGAACUCAUAGAUGCUACUAUAGCAGAAAUGCCAUCUGGAUGCUAAACAUUGCACCUCGAUUAUUUCACCGGUACCUGCUGUGGGACACUAGGUAGGACACGUGUGUCUAUUUGUUCAGCUUUAUAAAAAUGUAAGUGUCUACUUGUGUAUAAUCAAAGUUGAAGGACAUAAAUAUAUUACGUUUGUAUAUUAUGCCAUAAACAUAAAUUGCACGUCAAAUAAGAAGAAUAAAAAAACAUUGUAUUAUUGGGAAAAAAGUUGAGAAUUUAGGCCAUGGAUAAGAUCUUUGACCAAAAAGACAAAAUACCAAAAAAAAAAUGUAAAAGUAAAGUGACAUUUUAUGAAAGGAAAAAGCAUAUGAAAGUCUUUGUUAUAUAUUUUUUUGGUGAAAAGUAAAAGGACAUUUAGGUCUUCCACUUUGAUGUUCUUUUUUUUAUAUAUAUGAAUAUGAAUAUGAUGAUUGAUUUGCAAGAAGAGAACAUCCUGCUAUUUGUUGAAUACAAACAAACAAAUGGGAUGUUUCCUUUUCUUUUCUUCAUUUCUCUGUUUUGUGUUGCUAAUAAGUGGAUGUUUUUCUUCAUCCAUUGAUCAUCAUCUUUGCUCUCCCACUGAAGCUUCUGCUUUGCUUCAGUUUAAGCAACCCUUUGAGAUUACAUCCGAGUACUCUUGUCAUUUCCGAGGACAAGCUUCUUUCCCGAAAACAAAGUCUUGGAAUGAGAGUAGGGAUUGUUGUACUUGGGACGGAGUCACUUGUGACAUGUUAAACGGUCAUGUUAUUGGGUUGGACCUUAGUUGCAGUCUGCUAAAAGGAACUAUUCAUCCGAAAAGCAGCCUCUUCCAACUUCUUUAUCUUCAAACACUAAACCUUGCUUACAAUAACUUUUCAACUUCUUCAAUCCCACAUAACAUUGGCCGAUUGACAAAUUUGAGGAAUCUCAACCUUUCUUAUUCUUACUUUGAUGGGAAAAUCCCAACAGAAAUCUCAUUGCUUUCCAAUUUAGUUUCACUUGAUCUUUCUCCUCCUUAUAAGUAUGGAUUACAACUUGAUCAGAGAACAUUUGAGGCAAUGCUUCACAACUUGACAAAUCUGGAGGUACUAUCUCUCUCUUUUGUCAACAUCUCAUCUCCGAUACCUGUGAAUAUUUCUUCCUCCUUAAGGUACAUGGAUCUUGAAUAUACUAAUCUGCGAGGUGUUCUCACAGAGAACUUUUUUCUUAUGCCAAACUUGGAAAGGCUUAAAUUGGGUUUCAAUGCUCUUCUCAAAGGAGUUUUACCAAAGAUCCACCCGAGCAGUACUCUGUUGGAGUUGGAUAUUUCAUACACAGGAAUCUCCGGUGAGCUGCCUGAUUCAAUUGGCACCUUGAGUUCUUUGAAUAUCUUGUACUUCCGUGGAUGUGAAUUUUCUGGUCACAUUCCUGAUUCCAUUGGCAAUCUUACACAAAUUCGGGAGUUGAUUUUAUCUGAUAAUCGUUUCACUGGCCACAUUCCUUCCACAAUCUCUAAAUUGAAGCACCUCACACAUUUAGUUCUUGAGUCCAAUUCCUUUUCAGGUGAAAUUCCAGAUGUUUUCUCUAACCUCCAAGAGCUACGUUAUUUACAUCUUUAUAGUAACAGCUUCAUUGGUUCGUUUCCUUCUACAAUUUUAAACUUGAUACAUCUUCAAUACUUAGACUUGUCGAGUAAUUCCCUAUCUGGCUCACUGCCCAGCAAUGCAAGCAUGUUUCCAAAGCUAACCGAGCUGGAUUUGUCAUACAACUCACUGAAUGGUACCAUACCAUCUUGGGUGCUUAGCCUCCCUUUGCUAACAUCACUGUCGCUCCAAAAUAAUCAAUUUAGUGGACUAGCCGAUGAGCUCAAAAAUAACCCAACAUUAGAAUACCUGUUUUUAAGCAAUAAUCAACUCAGUAGUUCUUUUCCUCAAUCUCUUGCGAAUCUCACAAACCUUUUUACCCUUGACAUUUCAUCAAAUAACAUCACGGGUGAUGCGGGAAUAAAUAUCACCUUUCCUAGCCUAGAAAAAGUGUUCUUAUCAUCUUGUGAAUUGAGGGAUUUUCCACACUUCUUGAGAAAUGUAAACACACUUCAGGUCUUGGAUAUUUCUAACAAUAAGAUUCGUGGUCAAAUCCCUAACUGGUUUAGCAGCAUGAGGUGGAACUCGUUGCAGUUCUUAAACCUUUCUCAUAAUUCAUUAACAGGCCAUCUACCACAAUUUCAUUAUUAUAGUCUAAAGUAUCUUGAUCUUAAAUUUAACUUCCUUCGGGGGUCACUACCUUUAUCCAUUUGUAACAUGAAUAGCCUUAGCCUUCUGGAUUUAUCACACAACAACUUCAGUGGCUCUGUUCCACAUUGCUUCGGCAGCAUGGUUGAGCUAUCUGUGUUAGACUUUAGAAGAAAUAACUUCACAGGGAGUCUUCCACCAUUUUGUGCACAGACCGAUUCAUUGAAAACCAUCGUCUUGAAUGGUAAUCUAUUGAAAGGACCUGUCCCUGUGUCGUUGCUCAACUGUGUUGGUUUAGAAGUUCUUGAUUUGGGGAAUAACGCUAUAAAUGACAUAUUUCCAGCUUGGCUAGGAACACUUCAAGAACUGCAGGUCCUAAUAUUAAAGUUCAAUCUGUUCCAUGGACCUAUAAGUACUUGUCAGACUGAGUUUUGCUAUCCCAAAUUGCGAAUUUUUGAUCUUUCUCGUAAUGAAUUCAGUGGAUCACUUCCUGCAAAAGCUUUUGGAAACUUCAAGGCAAUGAUCAAAUUAGAUGGUGAAGAUACAAGAGAGAUCAAGUACAUGGAACCAUAUGAGAAUUUCUCUUACACAUCGUAUGAGAAUUCAGUGAGGUUGGUAAUCAAAGGGCACGAUACUGAGCUAGAAAGAAUCAGCACAAUUAUGACAACCAUAGAUCUCUCAAGCAACCAUUUUGAAGGUGUCAUUCCGAAAACACUAAAGGAUCUCAGCUCACUUUGGCUACUCAAUUUAUCCCAUAACAAUCUCAUAGGUCAUAUUCCAAUGGAAUUGGGGCAAUUGAAUAUGCUUGAAGCAUUAGAUCUCUCCUGGAAUCGGCUCACUGGAAAGAUACCACAGGGAUUGACAAGAAUGAACUUUUUAACAGUCUUAAACCUCUCUCAAAAUCAUCUCGUUGGACCAAUUCCUCACGGUCCACAAUUCAACACAUUUGAAAAUGGUUCGUAUGGUGGCAACCUUGAUUUAUGUGGUCCUCCUCUAUCAAAGCAAUGCGGAACGAGUGAUUCAUCACAUGUUCCUCAACCAUUGGAGUCCGAAGAAGAUGAAGACGAGUCAUAUUUUUUUAGUGGAUUUACGUGGGAAUCAGUAGUCUUAGGCUACAGUUUUGGACUCGUUGCUGGAACGGUUGUGUGGAGCCUCAUUUUUAAAUAUCGUAAACCAAAAUGGUUUGUCGAAUUUUUUGAAGGCAUUUUUCCCAAGAAAAUGAGAAGGUCAAAGAAGAGAAGGCCAAGACAAAGGACAUAAUGGAAGAUUGAACUUUUCUAUUACUGUUUUUGUUUUUUAAUUUUAUGUUUGCUGUUUGUAUAUGUUUGAUAACAACUUAAUUGUUAUGUGUUAUUUUAGCAUCAAUGGUUAUUCAAGUAAAGCAUUUUUUAUGCUUAAUCCCAAACAUACUAGAUGGACACCUUCCUGUACAUUUACUCAAGCAGCUCGAAACAUCUUGACCUUUUAUGAUUGUAUAGAUUCCACGAAAAAAUUGCACAAAAAAUUUAUUGCAUUCGUCCAACUUGGUUUCACUUGAUUAAAGUGUUCCCUCUUGUCACUAUCUCAUCCAUGGACCACUAAUUGGUUCAAUGACUUCAAAAUUAUACACUCUAUUAUCAACUUAAAGCAGCACAACACAUCUUGACCUAUUAUGAUCGUAUAGAUUCCAUGAAAAAAUUGCACUAAAAAUUUAUUGCAUUCAUACAACUCGACACAUCAUGUCAUUUGACUUAGUCAAUCAAUAGUUUCUCUUUUUGAACAUUCUUGUGGGAAAACUAGAAAAAUAUGGCUGAUAAGUUGGAAGUCAACCAAAGAGAUGUUGAUGGGACAAUAAUAGCAGAGAGUUCAAUUAGCUGUAAACAACUCAAACAAAAAAUAUCGCUCUAUUUACAUAGUAUAAUUUUUCAACGAGCAGGAUUUAGGUGAACCCCUUGCACCUCUAUGUCUCCAUCCCUAAUCAGAGUGUGGAGAAAGUCAGCCCUUUAACUAUAUAUAUAUACCGUGGAUUAUGAUUGAUUUUGUAAGAACAUUUUGUUAUCUGCUAAAAAUAAACAAUGGGACGUCUAGUUUUCUUUUAUUCAAUUCUCUGUUUUGUCUUCCUAAGUCAAAGCUUUUCUUCAUCCUUUGUGCAGCAUCUUUGCUCUCCCAGUGAAGCUUUAUCUUUGCUUCAGUUCAAGCAACACUUUCAAAUGUCCGACAAGUACUCUAAACAUUAUAGUACUUCUCUCCCAAAAGCAUCGUCUUGGAAUGAGAGUACGGAUUGCUGCACUUGGGGAUGGAUCACUUGUGACAUGUUAACUGGUUAUGUAAUUGGCCUAGACCUUAGUAAUGCAAAUCUUAGCGGAACUAUUCAUCCUAACAGCAGCCUCUUUCAACUUCAUCGUCUUCAGACGCUAAACCUUGCUUACAAUAACUUAUCUGGUCUCAUUCCUGAUUCCAUUGGCAACUUCACACAAAUCAGAGAGUUGGAUUUUGGUUCCAAUCAUUUCACUGGCCAUAUUCCUUCAACAAUCUCAAAAUUGAAACAUCUCACACGUCUAGAUCUUUCGUUUAACUCACUUGGAGGUAAAAUUCCCGAUGUUUUCUCUAACCUCCGAGAGCUAGUUACAUUGUAUCUUUCUUAUAACAGCUUCAUCGGUCCAUUUCCCUCUUCGAUUUUAAACUUGACACGUCUUGAAAACUUAGACUUGUCUAGUAAUUCCUUGUCUGGUCCAUUGCCAAACAAUGUCAGCAUGCUUCUAAAGCUAGUUGACCUGGAUUUUUCUCACAACUUGCUAAAUGGAACAAUACCAUCUUGGGUGUUUAGCCUCCCUUCUUUAUAUAUGUUGGAGCUCCAUCAUAAUCUAUUCAAUGGACUAUCCGAUGAGCUCAAAGUGAAUCGAGCAGUAGGGCGUUUGGAUUUGAGUUAUAAUCAACUCAAUAGUCCUGUUCUUCGAUCACUUCAAAAGCUCACAAACCUUGUAAACCUUGACCUUUCAUCAAACAACAUCACCGUUGAUGGGGGGACACACAUCACUUUUCCUAGACUAGAAAUUUUGCGGUUAUCAUCUUGUGAACUGAAGGAUUUUCCACAGUUUCUAAGAAAUUUAAAGACACUUCAGGUCAUAAAUCUUUCUAACAACAAGAUUCGUGGUCAAAUCCCUAACUGGUUUAGCGGGAUGAGGUGGGACUCGUUGUUUCACCUAAACCUUUCAUAUAAUUCACUCAAUGGUCACAUAGAUCUAUCUCAUUUCUAUAGUCUAGUGUCUCUUGAUCUUAAAUUUAACUUCCUUCAGGGUCCACUACCUGCAUCCAUUUGUAACAUGAGCAUCAUUAGCCUUCUGGAUUUAUCACACAACUACUUCAGUAACUCGAUUCCAAGUUGCUUGGGUAACAUGACUCAGCUAACGGUGUUGGACUUAAGAAGGAACAAUUUCACUGGAAGUCUUCCACCGUUAUGUAGUCAACACACUUCAUCGACUACCAGUAUUCUGAAUGGUUAUGGUAAUCAAUUGACGACCAUUAUCUUGAAUGGUAAUCAUUUUGAAGGACAUGUCCCUGUGUCAUUACUCAACUGUGUUGGUUUAGAAGUUCUUGAUAUCGGGAACAACGCUGUAAAUGACUCAUUUCCAGCUUGGCUAGGAACUCUUCAAGAGCUGCAAGUCCUUAUAUUAAAGUCGAACAAGUUCCAUGGACCUAUAAGUACUAGGCUGAAGUUUGGGUUUCCCAGGUUGCGGAUUUUAGAUCUCUCUCAUAAUGAGUUCAGUGGCUCACUGCCUGCAGAAGUUUUUCAAAACUUCAAAGGAAUGAUCAAAAUAGAUGACAGUGACAAAGGUGAGAUCGAAUAUAUGAAAACAUCAGACUCAUUUUUUGUUAUGUACGAUGAUUCAGUGAGGUUGGUGAUCAAAGGAAACGAUAUGGAGCUAGAAAGAAUCACUACAAUUAUGACAGCCAUAGAUAUCUCAAGCAAUCAUUUUGAAAGUGUGAUUCCGAAAACACUAAAGGAUCUCAGCUCACUUUGGCUACUCAAUUUAUCUCAUAACAAUCUCAGAGGAGAUAUUCCUAUGGAACUAGGAGGAUUGAAUAUGCUUGAAGCGUUAGAUCUCUCUUGGAAUCAACUCACUGGAAAGAUUCCGCAACAAUUGACAAGGCUAACCUUUCUGGCAUUCUUAAACCUCUCUCAAAAUCACCUAGCUGGACGCAUUCCUCAAGGUUCACAGUUCAACACAUUUGAAAAUGACUCGUAUGGUGGCAACCUAGAUUUAUGUGGUCCUCCUUUAUCAAAGCAAUGUGGAACGGGUGAUCCAUUGCAUAUUCCCCAACCAUUAGAGGAAAAAGAAGAGGACGAGACAUAUUUUUUUAGUGGAUUUACGUGGGAAUCAGUAGUCAUAGGCUACAGUUUUGG
rnacentral:lncRNA from 1 species